rnacentral:rRNA from 1 species
GAAUAUAAUUAUUUUGCCUAGUUACUUAAAUAUAUAUUUAUAUAUAUACUAUUCAUAAAAUAAUUUAUACAAAUUAAAUUACUAAUUUAAUCAUUAUAUUAUAACUAAUAUUAUUAAAAUUAUUUUUUUUUUAAAAUCAAUAUAUAUAUAAUUAAUUUUACUAUAAUUAAAAAUUUAUUAAUAAAUUAUUAAAUACUCAUUAAAUUCUUUUAAAUUUUAAAAUUAAUCUUUUUAAUUUUAAUUUAAAUUAUUAUAUAAAUUUAAUUUAUAGAUUAUCCCAUAAAUUAUUUAUAUUUUCUAAAAUAAACUUUUUUAUUUAAAUUUACUUUAAAAAAUAUAUAAAUUAAAUUUAAUUCAAAAAUAACUAGAUAUCAUUAAAAUUGAAUAACAUCUAAUCUCUAAAUAUAUAUUUAUAAUUUUUAUUCAACAAAAAAAAUUUUAUAUAUUUAACUCUUUUAAUUUCGAGAUAUUUAAUUUAUUAAAAAUUUUUAAAUUAACCCUGAUACAAAAGGUACAAAAUUUUACUUUAAUUUAUAAAAUUUUAAAAUUUCAUUUACAUUACUUAUAUAUAUAGAUAUAUUUAUUAUUUCUUAAAAUAUUACUUUAACAUAAAAUUUUUAUAAAAACUUUUUAUAAUAUACUAAUUAAAACAAUAAAAAAAUUUUAUUUAAUUAAUUA